CUACGUAGGGGGCGAGCGUUGUCCGGAAUGAUUGGGCGUAAAGGGCGCGUAGGCGGCGCGGUAAGUCUGGAGUGAAAGUCCUGCUUUCAAGGUGGGAAUUGCUUUGGAUACUGCCGCGCUUGAGUGCAGGAGAGGUUAUCGGAAUUCCCGGUGUAGCGGUGAAAUGCGUAGAGAUCGGGAGGAACACCAGUGGCGAAGGCGGGUAACUGGACUGCAGCUGACGCUGAGGCGCGAAAGUGUGGGGAGCAAACAGGAUUAGAUACCCUGGUAGUCCACACUGUAAACGAUGAAUGCUAGGUGUAAGAGGUAUCGACCCCUUUUGUGCCGGAGUCAACACAAUAAGCAUUCCGCCUGGGGAGUACGGCCGCAAGGUUGAAACUCAAAGGAAUUGGCGGGG
rnacentral:rRNA from 1 species